UUUUUUUUUUUUUUUUUGGUGGAAGUCAUCACUGUUGAGAAUGAAGAGAUACAGUAUUAUGAGUACAAUUUUUAUUACGAGUGUGGUACAGAUUCAUUAUUUAUAGGUCCAUACACCAGAUCAAUCCAGCCCCUUAAGUUUCGUUAGUUUAUAUUAGGCUCUGACAAUCAACAUCAAGAAUGGGAUUUCCUGUUUCUCAAGUCUCAACUCAAGAGUGUCAGAUUAAAAUGGGCUGGGCUUGGACUUCUCAGCUGUUAAGUUUUCUUAGUGGACCAAUCUAUUGAGAGACUCAAGCUAUGUGGUCUAGGUCUUCAUUCAUAGUGGGAUUGACAAGUAAAUGGGCCUGACUCAUGAGUCCAUAGAACAGAGUAUGUAUACUCUAGUCUUACCCACAGCACUGUACUCUGUAAUGUAGUGGAUAUAUAUUUAGUGAAUUUACCCGUUUUUCAAAUAUCAGAUAUAGGCAUAUACUUUACCAAAAAAAAAAAAAAAAAUAUAGGCAUAUACAAAAUUUCAACUCAUUGCACCAAAGUUACUCAUGGAAAUGGUUCUAGGACCUCAUUAAGCACCUAUAAAACACAAUUGGCCCAACUAAGGCCCGGUUUAUAAUAUUGGCCCUCAUUAAGCAUUUGUAAAAUAAGAAAAGACCCAUUUAACGUUGAUAUUGUAAAAACGGCCCUUUCACUAUCGAUAAUACCCUUCUGGUUUAUGCAAACAAAUGUUUGCAUUUUUAUGGUAUGUCAUUGUUUCGAGUAUGCAAACAAGUUUUUGCAUUUAAUCUUUAUGUGUUAUGACUGAUGCAAACAAGUCUUUACAUUUUCUAGUUUAUCUUGUUGUCGUUUCGAGUAUGCAAACAAUUCUUUGCAUUUAAUGUUUAUGUGUGUUGUAACUGAUGCAAACAAAUCUUUACAUUUUAUGGUUUAUGUUGUUGUUUGCAAGUAUGCAAACAAGUCUUUGCAUUUUAUAUUUGUAUUGUGACUGAUAUAAAUAAGUAUGUUUAUAUGUUUAUGAUAUGCAAACAAGUCUUUGCAUCAGUCGAAGGGUAAACUAGUCCAUAAGACACGGAAAUCAGCGGUUGGGCCUAUUUUACCAUUAGUUCCCUAACUGGUCCAAUCUUAUAUUUAAACAUCUUAAAGGGGUCCGUUUUUUUAAUCCCUGAAAGUUACUAGGCAUGAUUUUGUUUGCGAAUUGGAAAUUCGGCGAAUAACAAAAUUACCAAUUAUGGACUUUAGUAAUGAUAUUAGCCAGGAUGGACAUCUUUGGGUUAUAUGGCACAUAAAUAAACUACUAGUCUGAGUGCUUAUUGCAGACUAUGGCAACGCAUCGCGCAUGUUUGUAUUAUCAGCAUGCAUAUUGGGUAUUUGGGUGCCUAAAACAUUACAUGCUCCACCUGAAAUAUUGCGGUAGUGUUCUAAGUCCCACUAGGGUUAACUAACCCACACACAUUAGUGUUUUAUUUAUUUCACAAAUCCCAAACAAAAGCGGCAAAACAUCAUAAUAAUAAAAGGGUAAUUUCCCGAAUAAACACAGGUUUAUAACGUUUCUUCCCAAAUCAGCACAUUUGACUGCAAUCUUCCCCAACAAGCACAAUUCUCGGUUUGACUUGCUGAAUUUUUGUCUUUUAGCAUAUUUUGUUUCCUAUUAUACCCUUUAGCCUAUAAUCAUUUGUUUUAAUAGGUUUUCAAUAGGUUUUCAGUAGAUGUGACAUAUGAGAUAAUGACAUGACAGUAGAUUACAACCAUUGGAUCAUGAUAAUAAGUUACAGCCGUUGGAUAUAAUUUGCUAAUUCCUAUCCUCCACAAGUGAUGUUAUUUCCUCUACAAUUUGUAAUUUUAAACAAGCAUCUGCUACAGUAAACAACAGCCACUCAGCGCCACGUGUCAUUAACCGUUGGGUUUUAAUUGGGCGGGAAAAUCGAGCGGGAACAGGUAGAGUGAUACUUAACCUAGGGUUUUCACACCGAUUCAGAAUCCACAACCACCCACUCUCUCUUCUUCUUAAACCGAUUCUUCUUCCAUUAAACUGCUCAUAACUCUUCUAAUUUCUUUCCCAUCUUCCAUUUCUACACAAUCAUCUUCUAAUUUCUACACAAUCAUCUUCUAAUUUUCCAUCUUCCAUUCUAAUUUCUACAUAAUCAUGCCGAAAAAGAUUGAAGGCGAUGAAGUCAGUAGAAAAUUUAGCAUCACUGUGAGAUGCUCACCAUCUAAGUUUGAAGCCCACUAUCUAAACCCAAACGAAAGAUUGCCCCCCAAUGAGUUAGAAUCUUUUAAAAAUUCCCCUUUUGGGCAGUUUUUGAGUUUGGAGGGACAAGAAAAAAUCGCCAUGAUCACUUCAGUAGUUACAGAAAUUGUUUCAAAUAGGGUUGGUCGAUUGAAGUAUUCAAUUGGGGGUAGAGUGAUUGAGUUCAAAAUGACAGAUCUUGCUUUGAUUUUGGGGCCUUUGAAAUUUGGGCAUUUACCUGUUGAUUUUGUUGUUAGGAAGCAAACUGAAUAUAGUGCUUUCAGAUCGAAAUACUUCCAGAAUAACCUACACAUCAGAGAUUCUCAUAUCCUUGAUGCAAUUAAGGAAGCAAGAGAAGCCGAAGAUGCUCAUCCAGAUGAUGUCAAUAGGUUGAACAGGUUGUAUUUUCUUGCAAUUUUUCUGCUUGCUGACUCAUCAAAAACAAUUGAUGUAAGGUAUGUCGAUCUUGUUGAAAAUUUGGUCGAUUUUGAUGAUUUUCCAUGGGGUACUGCUGCAUUCAAAUUGCUUGAGAGCAAUUUAGAAGAUGUGUUUACCAAAAUUGUUGAUGGUGUACAAAACUAUUGUAUCAAUGGAUGUGUGUUUGCAUUCAUUAUUUGGGCAUAUUUGCAUCUCCCAGAUCUUGGUCCCAGAAAGAUUCCCAACUCUCCUUUUCCAAGGAUGUUAGGAUGGUAUGAUUUGCCCACUAGGAACAAAUCAAGGGACAAACUAUCUGAGAAAUUUCACCCCAAGAAAGGAUUCAUUAAUGUGGCCUAUCCACUGGAUAUCACUCUGCAAGAAAGAGCUGCAGCAAAUUUACAAGUGGUUGAAGAAGUAAGUCAUCUUUAUGUUGCUGUAUUUUCAAUAUCCUCUACUUUGUUUUCUUUUUCCUCUACAGAUAUAUACUUAUCCGUUACAUUUUAAUUCCAGUUUCAGGCUCUUUCACAAGCAGAAUAUGAAGAGUCUGCUUCUUCUAGGCCAGUUUCUAGAUUAGUUCGUCCAUCUCAGCACUCAUCUGCAACAACAAGUUCUGGAAAUUUUAUUACACUUGAAAGAAAUGCCCUUGAGGCAAUUCUCAAAGGAGUCUUUGAAAUGGUAUGUUGUUACUACUACUUUGAAAUUCUAUCUGAAACCAUGAAUAACUUAUCUUCUUUAUAGGUUUCUUACUUAUUACAUUGAAUACAUAUAUUCUAAAACCUCUAGUUGAUCAUUAUUAAUAUGUUUUGGUAUAUCGUCUACAUUGAUAUUAUUUUCCUCUAUGUUAUACAGUUCUAUCCGUUACCUUGUUUCUGUAUACUCUUUAUAAUUUGUUAACAUAAUAUACUCUUUAAACUUUACAUGUUGUUGAAUUUGAAUGAAGUCAUAUACAAAAACUUUAAACCUUGAAAUGUUGAAACCUUGAAACCUCUAUAAUUUGAAUGUUAACAUAAUAUAUCCUUUAAAUAUUUGAAUGAUGUUUUCUAUAAUGUUGGGUUUAUCCUCUACAAUCUUAUUGCAUUAUUUUUGAAGGGUCGUGAGGCAGGGAUGGUUUCUGACAAAAUCAGUGAUGCUGAUGUGGCUGUUAAAGGUGUGUUUGCACAGAUUGGUAAGGGGGCAUCAAAGAAGACAAGUAAAAGUAAGAAGAAGAUAAGUUCCCCCUCAAAGCCAACUCUCAAACCCAAAUCAGUCAAAAAGACCAAUCCUUUGCCAAGUCCUCCAAAAAGGGCAACCAGAUCAAGUACUGCAUCCCAAGUUUCACCAACAGUUUCAACAAGGAAACAAACAAUUCCAUCCAAGAAAACCAAUGUUUCACCCAAGAAACCCAUUGUACCAACCAAGAAAGUUAGUGCUCCCCCCAAACCUAUUGGGAGGGUGAAGAUACCUCCCAAGCAGAAACCCCCUCAAGCCACAACAGUGAGUGAUUCCCCACAACCCAAAAUUAUUGAUUAUAAGAAGAUGGAGGAAGAGCCUAUACCAGCACAGACAGCAGUUAGAACCACCAGGAGUAAAAGCUCUUUGUCUUCUAAUUAUGAGGUAAAAAGAAGGGAACCUCAACCCCCAAAAUCUGAAGGGGAUAAGGGGAUAAAGAGGAAAAGAUCAGAGGAGGGGGAGAAGGAUAACAAGAAGAAGAAGAAAAAUUCAAAGAAGGGGGAAUCUGAAAAAGUGGAGAAGCGUAAAAAGAAGAUGUCCAUUGUGGAUAUGGGGAAGCAGGAUGAAGAUAAGGCAGCUCCACAGAAUGAUGAGAUAGAAGAGGGUAAAAAUACAGUAGGGGGGAGUGAUGAUGACAUGUUACCAUUAGACCGACAUUUUCCCGUGUUUGAUUUUAAUCUUGAAGAACAAAAUGACCAACAGGCGGGAGAGAAACAGAUAGAGAAAGAAGAGAAAAAAAGGAAGAGAGCAGAGAUGUUGUUUCCUAUUAGAAGGCAUCAACCUGAAAGGAAGGUUAAAGGUGAUGCCUUUGAUCUUAGUUGGAGGAAAGAAUUAAGAAAGAGAAGGGAGGCAAAGAAGCUGAAGGAAAAAAAGGCAAGGAAGAUACAGUCAGAUGAUGAUGAAGUCCCCAGCAGUAAGAAAGUAAGAAAGUUGUCUUUCUGGAGUGAUGAUCAUUCAUCAGAUGACCAGGAGUCCAUUGUGGAUGUAUUGAAUAACCUGAGAGGUGUACCUGAUCCUCUUGCCAAGGCAAUGUCAAAACUCCAAGGUCUUUCUGUACUGAUGGGAGAGAAAGCUGAAGUGAAUGAAGAAUGUAAACCUAAUGAUUCAAGUACAAAGGAUGGCGAUCCUUCUGUAUCCGCUACAGAAGAUACAUUGUCUGCUAGAAAGGAGGAUCCAUCCGCUACACCGACAAAGGUAACAACAGAUGAAACCGAGACGGCUACAACUGAGGUUUCAUCCGCUACAUUGUCUGGUGCAAAGGCUAAAAGCAUUGAGGCAUCUUCUACAACUGUUGAAUCUGCUGAUAGUGAAGAAGAAGAUGAUGAUAAGCAGGAUGAUGAUUCUGAUGAUGAUAAAAAAGAUGAUGGUAAGGAGGACGAUGAUAAGCAGGAUGAGGAUGAAAAAGAUGAUGGUAGGGAGGAUGAUGAUAAGAAGAAUGAUGAUAAGAAUGAUGAUGAUAAGAAUGAUGAUGAUAAGAAUGAUGAUGAUGAUGACAAUGGUGGAUGUGAUCAUCAUACUGAUGUGGUGGUUAAUAGAGAAGAUGUACCUCAACAGUAUAGACUUGAAACACCUACUGCAUCAGAUAUUGAGGAGUCAUCAGGCAGGAAGAGUGUUCUCAUUCUUGGUGUAGAGGAAUCUGAUGAUGAUGAGAAGGAUACAAAAUUUGACCUGCAAGCAUUAAGAGUGGCAAGGAGGGAAAGGGAAGCCAAAACUUAUCAAAACAUGGAGGCUGGUGAACUUUCUUUGGGCCUUAGGUGUAAUGCAAGGAUGUCAGAGAUAAUGAAAGAACCAUUCUUCAGUAGACAAGUGGAAGAGGAUGAUACAAAACUUUGUCACUACUUUUGGAGUUUGGCUUCUGACCCAAAGUGGAGUAGAGUCCCCAUGAGAAGUUAUGGUUUUCUGGCUUCAUGCUUAGUGAGUGCCUACAACACACUCUACAAAGGUAAUUGGCUUAAUGAUGAGAUUAUUGACAUCUAUCUCAGGCUGCUCAUUCGUUGGUAUGGUACCAUGAGGCCAUAUUACUUUAGGGAUGAAGAUCAAUAUGCUAUUGUUUCAACAAUAUAUCUACAUGUAAGUACCUUGUUCCCUUAUUCUACCUAGUAAUUAUAACCUUCAAUUCUGAGCUGUUUGAAGAAUUAUUUUUCCUUUUUGUAGACCAAAAUCAAGUGUGAUGUGAUGCCUGAAUACGACAAACUGAUGAAAGAUAAGAGUUUUGCCAAAAUGAAUCCUCGGGAAAGAGUGACAUCUGGGCGUUUCCAAAUUUCAUCAGGCUGUAGUUCAAUUGUUGAUCCCUGGGUAGGUCUCAAAAAUCAAGUUCACCCUGUGAAAGCAAAGGCACUUCUCAUCCUAUUACAGGUAUAUUUCAUACUUUCCUCCACUACCUCUACAUGUCAUAAUUUAUCCUCUAUUUUAUUAUUUCUAUUUGCCACUAUUGAUAUGUAUAUAUGUGUUAUUUGUAGGUGAAUGAUAACCACUGGAUUCUGCUUUCUUUCAAUUUUAGUGAGAAAAUUGUUAGAAUCUAUGAUUCAUUGGGAAUGACAAGGGGUAUACCUGAAUUGAGAAAUAUGGAAAAGUUUUUGCCAUAUGUUGUUUUUGCUGCUGAUCCAUCACAGGUUCAACUCAAACUGGAUAUGAAGUGGAAGCGUGAGUAUGUUAAGUGUGCUGAACAACCAGAUGGUUGUAGCUGUGGAUUAUUCCUCUUUGCCUUCGUCGAAUGCGUGCUUCGAGGAAUACCACCUCAGUUCGAUGCAGAUCCUCUUCAGAUGCGCUAUCGUAUUGCCAGAGACCUAAUUGAUAUAGGGGAACCUCCCUCCUCCAAAAACAAGAGCAAAGUUUAGUUAUUUGUUGUUUGUAUUGUAUGCUAUACAUUUUAUUUGGUUGUUUGAAGACAUGUUUAUAUGGUUGUUUAUGAACCCAAUGUUUUUUAUGUGGUUGUUUAUGAAUCUAUGUUCAUGGUUGUGAAUGAUACAUUCUGUUCUUAUUUGGUUUAUAGGUGAACCUAUAUUGUUCCUGUUCUUUAUGUUUGAAUGGUAGAGGAUACACAAAUAUAUGGUAGCCGUUAGGUAGUACAAAGAUAGAGGACAACACUGCAAUGCACAGUAGACAAUCUAUGCAAAAAACCUAACAACCAAAUAAGGUAACACUCAAGUGUCACUGAUAAAACAUACGAUAACAAUAGUGUUUUCCUGUCAAAAAUAGGUUGGAUUUGAAGCCCCUACCCUUAUAUAACAUGAAAAUCAAUACAAAAUAAAGUCAACGGAUAACAGGCAAUAUGUAGAGGAUCUAAACAUGUAUGUGGAAGAUAAAUUCCCAAAAAAGUACAAAACCCAUUUCAGUACUUAGAUUGUAGCUGGAACAGGGCUAAGUGGUGGCCCUUCACCAAAUAGGGUGUGACUGAAGAGUUGAUAGUCAUCUAUACAUUCAAGACAAGUUGAUUUGUUAUGACCUCUGACUCUACACAUUGAACAUCGCCUACUCUGGACAGGGACACCCUCAGCUUUACCUCUCUUCCUGGCUGUUUUAGGACGCCCUGCCUUUGAAGUUUUUAGUGGUGGAAGAAUUCUUCUUCUUUGUCUGUCGGUUGGCCAUUCUUCCUUCGCCCUUGUGGGUGUCCAUUCUUCUCUAUAAGUUUCUAUGUAUGUUUCCUUCAAGUAGUACACCUCAACAAAUUUGUAUGGAUCAAAUCCAACUUCCUUUAUAGCUGCCAUGGCAUGCUCACAUGGUAUCCCCAUGGUUUGAAACCAUUUGCAUGUACAUGUUCUUUUGUUGAGGUCAACCACACAUGACCUUUUAAGCCCUCUAACAGACCAAAUACCUGCUGAAGCUCUUUCAAGUGUGCACUUUCUUGCAACUGCGGCAUUGUGCACUAUUUGCUCUUGACACCAUGUUGUGACAGGUGAAUUGAACUUCAAAGAAUCAUUGCGAUAAUCUCGAUAAUGCCUAAUUACAUUAUCUCGUAUCAUUGAAACAAUGGUAGUAACUGGCAUCAUUCUUUCUCCAAUGAUCAUUUUGUUCCAGCUCUCCACAUGAUUUGUUGUCACAAUUCCAUAUCUGCAAAAUCAAUGUAAAUGAUAGAAACCUUAUAGUACCGGAUAGGAGUUGUAUUGUAGCGUACACAGAAAUAUGUUAGCAAACUUACCUGGAUUUCUCUUGGAAAGCACUUGCCCACUUUUCUAAAGGCCCAACAUCCAUAAGUUUUUCAUGUGCUUUGGAGGAUAGGACCCAUAUUCCUAGCAUAUUUCCCCAAAAUUCUUGUUGGUUGAGGGUUUUUGCUGAUUCUUGCACCAAGAACUUGAUUUUCUUGUGACCAAACUUGCCACUCAUGUGAUAGGAACAGUACAUAUGGACAGCAUUUGGCAGAAUUUUAGGAACACCUUGGAUGAUGCUUUUGUGUCUAUCAGAUAACAAAAUGAACUGGUGAUCUACACCAACCACAUGGUCCCUUAGUUUGGUAAAAAACCAAUCCCAAGAAUCAUUUUUCUCUUUCAUUACAACUGCGAAAGCAAGGGGGAACACAUGGUUGUUGCCAUCGACUGCAAUAGCACUUAGAAUUGUUCCAGGGUACCUCCCUUUAAGGAAAGUUCCAUCAACAAUGACUACAGGACGCAAGUUCUUCUUGUAGACCCUAACUGAUAUACCAUAUGUCCAAAAGAAACAUUCAAAACGAUCACCUGGUCCAGUUAGAAUAUCAGUCACAGCAUCUGGAUCAACACUCAUGAGCUCAUGACUAUAUGUCUCAAGCAACUGAUAUGAGUAGCUGUAGCUUCCUCUUAUCUGCAACAAAGAAUAGAUGUGAAAAACUAUACUCUACAUAGAAAACAAUCUAGCCGAUACUAGUGCCUAUGGUAGCGACUACAGAAACAAAGUAGAAGAUGCUAUACCUUCAUCAAUGCUUUCUCUUUAGCAAACCAUGCAACUUUGUAUGAAACUGUGGUCUCAUAGUCUUCCUUGACCAUCUUUACAAGUGCUUUAGGCUUUAAGUUUGGGUUAUCCCUUAACUUUCUCAUUAAUACUCUAGAAACCCAAUCACUAUUUGCUUGGGGAUUUGUUCCUCCAACUCUAAAAUUACCACAAAAGUGGUCAUCAUUCAUUCUAGAAAUCUUCCAAGUGUUAUCCAUAUUUCGUGUUGCGUAGACUCUCCAUGGACAACCAUCUGCUUUACAUUUCCAAAUCAACCUUUUUGUGUUGGUGCUUUGCCUGCGUAUAUCUUUUUCAGUCUUAAUCGCGUAGGUUUGGAGGUCCCUUUCAAGAUCAUCUCGACUUAAAUAUACUAUUCCACAUGCAGGUCUAACAUAAUCAUUGUGAGAAGGCUCUGUAUGGGGAGCACAACCAACAUUUACCCUAGAUUUUGCAAUGUACGCAGAAAAGAUUUUGUCUAAUUCACGUUUCACUUCAUCGUUAUCGCGGUUUUCCGUAACUCUUACAUUCUUCUGGAGUGGCACAUUGUUGGGAAAUGGUACAUCUGUAUCAGGAGGUACAGUGGUCGGAGCUGGAGGGUUGUCUUGAAGUGGCACAGUGGUAGGAGUUGGAGGGUUGUCUUGUAGCGGCGCAGUGUUAUGUUGUGGUUGAUUGUUGACGUAAUCCCCUACUCGAGCGGAACGAUCCGCUAGAUUGCACCUUAUAUCCCCUGCAUUAGCAUUUCUAUCCGUUACCACAUCUUCGCUAUGCACGGUUUCUUGUGUCGAUAGAUCACCGAACAUUGGGUAGCUGUCAUUGUACAUUUCGUUCUCAAAUUCUUGAUCUUGGGUGUCAAGAAUUGGUGUUUUCAUCUCACCAAUGCCUUCAGAUGAAGAUUGGAUGACACCAUCAUCUUCAUUAUGAGAUGGAGGAGGUGGUGUAGGACCAAACAUUGGCUGGCUGUCAGUAUACAUCUCAGAUUCAAACUCAUCUUCAAGUCUAUCGAAUGAAUUAUAAGAGUAAUCACUAUUUGAGUCGAACACAUCCUCUUCUGUAUCCCAUUGGCCUUCCUCACAUUCACCCUCACUGUCAUCAUCCAGUACUUCUUCUUGGCUUCUCUCUAUCUCUGGAUCUAAUCUUUCUUCUACACUUUCCAAUUCAUCUGAAUCCCCAAAACCAUUAUCCCUACGCAUAUCAGAUAGAAUCCAUGCUAUGUCUUCAAGAUUAUCAAAUCUAGCCGAUUUUGGUACACAUAUAGGCGAUCCAGUUGUUGUUCUAGCCGAUAAGGGAGUCAAGUUCAUUGGAGGUUGAGGAAUGUAAACAUCAUCUCUCACUUGAACAUUAGGGGGAGGGGUUUCCAAGAAUAAAGGGUCAUUUGAGUGCCCCUUUCCCUUUACAGUCACUUCUGGGUCUUGAGAAGGAGUUUCCAAUCUAUAUUCAUCAGGAACAUGGAAAGGUUUUGUUGGUGUACAAAAAGAAGAGUAGUCUGGUUUCCUACCCAAGCCUAGAUUAUUGACAACAGGUUCAGGGAAAAGUUUUCUCUUCAAAAAUUGACUAGUUUUGGGAUUGACAACAGGUUCAGGGAAAAAUUUUCUCUUCAAAGAUUGACUAGUUUUGGAAUCCCCCUUGGGCAGCUCUCUUGGUAUCUCACUCACUUGGCUUGAGGCUUCAUUAGUCUCUGACUGUAUCAUAACUGGUGUUAAAUGAUCAAACACCCAAAUAGAAAUCACCAUUGCAGCUGAAUUUGUAAUGUAUGCAAUCAUUGCCAUGUAAUGAUCUUCGCAUUCAACCUUAGUUGGAUUAUUGUUGAUUACAGCUCGCAAUGACCAAGUUGUUCUUGGUGCCUUACAUAAGGAUUCAACCAAUUCCAAGAAGUCUCCGUAGGAUGUCUUGUUAUUAGCGAUCCUUAUUUUUGACUCACCAUGUACAUAUGCAAUCUCAACUUCUUCAACUGUAACAACCAAUUGCCCACCAUGUUGGAAUAUGAUAUUAAAUGUGUUCUCUGCAUAACAUCAAUUAAAAUGGGUUUAAUAUCACAUCUCUAUAAACGAGUGUACUGAAGGUUUCGGCUACAAUAUCAGUUUUAACGGUUACAGAUGACAGUUUAUCGUCUAUAAAUUUAAGAAUGUAUGUCAAAGUGAUAAUCAGUACCACAUGAUAAACCCACUUUUAGAUCUUCUAAUCAUUAGAUAAAAAACUUCAAAACCCCCCAUAAAAACAGAGACAAAGAGCCAUACACGGUAGACACUAGUGAUUUAAAGCUUGACAACAACAUAUUAGAAACCCAUAAACCAAAUUCUAUGGUUUUCAUACCCCCAACCCAAACAUCAACUAGAGUUGAAACCCCACCCACAAUUGAAUGCUUGCAUUUAAGCUGGUGGGUGUGUGUGUGUGAGUGAAUACUUUAAUGCCACUGAGAUUGAAACCUAAAACAGACAACUUUAAUACCAAUGAUUGGUAUUGAUGCCACUGAAAUCAAACCCCCCAUUACCAUUAUAAAUGAACAACCUUCAAACCUCAAAACUUACCAGGAAUCUGAACGUUCAUAACUUGCUUGCCCUUAUUGUUUCCUUUUUUUCCCAUGAUGAACAUAUUACCGAUGAAAACCCCAACGUCAAAAAAAAAAAAUCGAAGCUUUACGACAAAGAGAUUGUGAUCUGAUGAAAAGAGGUUAUCUUCUUGUUCAUUCUCUGCGAUGAACAAAGAAGGUGAAGAAGAAGAAGAACAGAGAAAGUAGUUUUGGUUAACUUCUCUUUUAAGGUAAGACAGUUGUUUUUGUCUUUUCUGGGUGGAGGAUAGAGUAGUGUGUUGUGGAGGAUUGAGAAUGCUGGUUUCUGUGUUAUUUCAUCCAACGGUGGUAAUCAAAGAUGCUUUUUCAUCUAACGGCGAGAGUUUAGUUUGCUGAAUUGAAUGAGGAGAGAGAAAAAUCAGACAAACAGCAGAUAUGAUGUGACGGCUUAAAGCUGUCAUAAGGGUAGAAAUGUCCAAUUAAAAAGUCAAACCGAGAAUUGUGCUUGUUGGGGAAGAUUGCAGUCAAAUGUGCUGAUUUGGGAAGCUGUGCUUAUUCGGGAAAUUACCCAUAAUAAAAUUUAUAACUCUAAUUUAAUUUCUAAAUCACUCCCAAAAUCACAAUAUACCGAUUCGACUCAAUAAUUAGCUGACAUUAUUUGCAUUGGAAGGGGUUUUAUCGGUCUUCUCUAACGCCUCCGUAGUGGGAAAAGCUGAUAGAGUACUGAUAUUUGUUUGCUAUGUAUGAAUUCAUCACAACCCGAGUACAUACCUAUAUUUGUUUUCUAUGUAUGAAUUCGUCACAACCCAUAGGUAGUCAGGGUGGGAAAAGUAUAUUUAGGGAUAUCAGAGACAUGGGGUUCAAUUCUCGGGUAUCAUUAUGGAGUUACUAAUCUCAUUAAAAACAUGUUCGCCAUAAUAUUUUUGGCUAAUAGAAAAAUAAAAUAAAAUAAAUUGUGGAUUAUCUUGUUUGCACAAACGAAAAGACCAACAUAACAAGAGUCUUAGUAUUUGAGCGUGAGCUCCGAAUUUAUUUUGGCCACAAGUUCUUUCUCAAACUAAUUAUAUUAUUCAUGAUAUUUUUGGACAUACGUCACCACUUUUUAGGGUUAUAUUUGCACAAUGUCACUACUUCUUUUUUAUUUGCGUUUAGUCACCAUUUUGUCUUAGCCUCGUUAGUUGACUGAGUCAAAUAUACGUUAACUGAGAUCGAGCUUAAAAAAAUUAAGAAAUUGAAGAACAACGAAACGAAGAGAAAAGAGAGAAAAAACCUAAGUCUAUGUUGUAUGAUAAUAGGUUGACUAUGUCAAAGUUGAGUUGACCGUUAGAAUUAAUGAAGCUGAGAUGGAUGAUGACGAAACACAAAUAAAAAAUAAAGUGGUGACGCUGAGCAAAUUUGCUCUCAAAAAGUGGUGACGAAACAAAAUUUUUCUCUUUUUUCAUUUAUCGUUACAAACAGCAAACAGAGCUUAAAAUAACACACUGUGCAUGGGGAUGAAUGAAAUAGCUUACGAUAGAGUACAAGUAAUUAAUCCUAAUGAACAAAUACACAGAUCAAGACUAGUGAAAGAGAGCUUCACUAUUCCAAUACAAUCAACAAUAUAGGAGUAACUAAAAUACACAAGAAAUGACUAACAGCUAGCUCACACACAGAGAGAUCGAAGAACAAUAUGCAUGAUUAG
rnacentral:lncRNA from 1 species